UAGCUGAAAUUACUGAGGGGGGG
rnacentral:piRNA from 1 species